rnacentral:rRNA from 1 species
UGGUGGAGNNNNNNGUUUAAUUCGAAGCAACGCGAAGAACCUUACCAGGUCUUGACAUCCUUUGACCACUCGAGAGAUCGAGCUUUCCCUUCGGGGACAAAGUGACAGGUGGUGCAUGGUUGUCGUCAGCUCGUGUCGUGAGAUGUUGGGUUAAGUCCCGCAACGAGCGCAACCCUUAUUACUAGUUGCCAGCAUUCAGUUGGGCACUCUAGUGAGACUGCCGGUGACAAACCGGAGGAAGGUGGGGAUGACGUCAAAUCAUCAUGCCCCUUAUGACCUGGGCUACACACGUGCUACAAUGGAUGGUACAACGAGUCGCGAAGUCGUGAGGCCAAGCUAAUCUCUUAAAGCCAUUCUCAGUUCGGAUUGUAGGCUGCAACUCGCCUACANNAAGCCGGAAUCGC